rnacentral:rRNA from 1 species
CCGUGAGGGAAAGAUGAAAAGAACUUUGAAAAGAGAGUUAAACAGUAUGUGAAAUUGUUAAAAGGGAACCGUUUGGAGCCAGACUGGCUUAACUGUAAUCAAUCUAGGCUUUGGCCUGGAUGCACUUGCGGUUUAUGCCGGCCAACGACAGUUUUGUUUGAGGGAAAAAAUUACAUUGAAUGUGGCCCUUCGGGGUGUUAUAGCUUUGUAAAAAAUACCUUGGACUGGACUGAGGAACGCAGUGAAUGCCUUUAGGCAAGAUUGCUGGGUGCUUUCGCUAAUAAAUGCUAGAAUUUCUGCUUCGGGUGGUGCUAGUGUUUAAAGGAGGAACUCGCUUAGUAUAUUUUUUAUUCGCUUAGGUUGUUGGUUUAAUGACUCUAAAUGAC